rnacentral:rRNA from 1 species
AGUGAACGCUGGCGGCAGGCCUAACACAUGCAAGUCGAGCGGCAGCGCGGGGGCAACCCUGGCGGCGAGCGGCGGACGGGUGAGGAAUUCGUCGGAAUCUGCCUUUUUGUGGGGGAUAACGUAGGGAAACUUACGCUAAUACCGCAUACGUCCUACGGGAGAAAGUGGGGGACCGCAAGGCCUCACGCAGAAAGAUGAGCCGACGACCGAUUAGCUAGUUGGUGGGGUAAAGGCCCACCAAGGCGACGAUCGGUAGCUGGUCUGAGAGGAUGAUCAGCCACACUGGGACUGAGACACGGCCCAGACUCCUACGGGAGGCAGCAGUGGGGAAUAUUGGACAAUGGGUGCAAGCCUGAUCCAGCCAUGCCGCGUGUGUGAAGAAGGCCUUUGGGUUGUAAAGCACUUUUGUCCGGAAAGAAAUCCCUGGAGCUAAUACCUUCGGGGGAUGACGGUACCGGAAGAAUAAGCACCGGCUAACUUCGUG